AUUCUACUGAGGAAUUCCAACCUGGAGAGAAGCUCCUCCCAUUGGCCCUCCUCCGCAUCCCACAGAGGAAGUCUGGGGAUGCUGUGGAGAUGCUGGGCUGGGGUUGGAAGUCAGAGGCUGAUGGGAGCAGGUCAGAUUUCCCGUGCAGCCUGAAUGGAGUCACAGGGACGUGUCCCUGCCUUGGAUCCAGGAGGUGGAGAAUCCAGGGAUACUCUGUCCUGGACACGUCAGAAGCUGGGGUUGAGGUGGCCCUCGCGUCAAAGGACCUGCAGCUCCUGCAGCUUUGCCUGUGUGGAGAGGAGGGGCUAAGGGACCAUGAUCACCCAGGGAAGUGGGCAGAGCCCGAGGCCAGACUUCACUCCGGAGGUCCGGCGCCUGGAAGCCAGCACCUGGCCAGCGUGGCACGAGGAGCCUAGUGCCUCUUCACUGCUGUCUGUGGGAGGGAAGAGCAGGAUGAGGAUGUGCCCACCCCAGCCCCCAGCCCAGCUCCCAACUCCAGCCCAGCACCUGUCAG